UACGGAAGGCAGCAGUGGGGAAUAUUGCACAAUGGGCGCAAGCCUGAUGCAGCCAUGCCGCGUGUAUGAAGAAGGCCUUCGGGUUGUAAAGUACUUUCAGUCGUGAGGAAGGUGUUAAGGUUAAUAACCUUAGCAAUUGACGUUAGCGACAGAAGAAGCACCGGCUAACUCCGUGCCAGCAGCCGCGGUAAUACGGAGGGUGCGAGCGUUAAUCGGAAUUACUGGGCGUAAAGGGCACGCAGGCGGUUAAUUAAGUUGGAUGUGAAAUCCCCGGGCUUAACCUGGGAAUGGCAUUCAAGACUGGUUAGCUAGAGUCUUGUAGAGGGGGUAGAAUUCCAUGUGUAGCGGUGAAAUGCGUAGAGAUGUGGAGGAAUACCGGUGGCGAAGGCGGCCCCUGGACAAAGACUGACGCUCAUGUGCGAAAAGCGUGGGGAGCAAACAGGGAUUAGAUACC
rnacentral:rRNA from 1 species